rnacentral:rRNA from 1 species
AUUGAACGCUGGCGGCAGGCCUAACACAUGCAAGUCGAGCGGCAGCGGGAAAGUAGCUUGCUACUUUUGCCGGCGAGCGGCGGACGGGUGAGUAAUGCCUGGGAAAUUGCCCAGUCGAGGGGGAUAACAGUUGGAAACGACUGCUAAUACCGCAUACGCCCUACGGGGGAAAGCAGGGGACCUUCGGGCCUUGCGCGAUUGGAUAUGCCCAGGUGGGAUUAGCUAGUUGGUGAGGUAAUGGCUCACCAAGGCGACGAUCCCUAGCUGGUCUGAGAGGAUGAUCAGCCACACUGGAACUGAGACACGGUCCAGACUCCUACGGGAGGCAGCAGUGGGGAAUAUUGCACAAUGGGGGAAACCCUGAUGCAGCCAUGCCGCGUGUGUGAAGAAAGCCUUCGGGUUGUAAAGCACUUUCAGCGAGGAGGAAAGGUUGAUGCCUAAUACGUGUCAACUGUGACGUUACUCGCAGAAGAAGCACCGGCUAACUCCGUGCCAGCAGCCGCGGUAACAC